AAUUAUUUUCACUAUACUUUGAAAGUAUACAUAAAGAGUCUGCUCUAAUAGUUA
rnacentral:tRNA from 1 species